AGUGAACGCUGGCGGUAGGCCUAACACAUGCAAGUCGAACGGCAGCACAGUAAGAGCUUGCUCUUACGGGUGGCGAGUGGCGUACGGGUGAGGAAUACAUCGGAAUCUACUUUUUCGUGGGGGAUAACGUAGGGAAACUUACGCCAAUACCGCAUACGACCUACGAGUGAAAGCAGGGGAUCUUCGGACCUUGCGCGAUUGAAUGAGCCGAUGCCGGAUUAGCUAGUUGGCGGGGUAAAGGCCCACCAAGGCGACGAUCCGUAGCUGGUCUGAGAGGAUGAUCAGCCACACUGGAACUGAGACACGGUCCAGACUCCUACGGGAGGCAGCAGUGGGGAAUAUUGGACAAUGGGCGCAAGCCUGAUCCAGCCAUACCGCGUGGGUGAAGAAGGCCUUCGGGUUGUAAAGCCCUUUUGUUGGGAAAGAAAAGCAGCAGGUUAAUACCCCGCUGUUCUGACGGUACCCAAAGAAUGAGCACCGGCUAACUUCGUG
rnacentral:rRNA from 1 species